AUCAGCGAUUCGAUUGGUUGAGUCUGUUAUUUUCUAACCAGUAUCGUAAUGAAUUUCGCCGCAUAGACUAGUACCCUUUCCUUCGUAGACUUUGCUACCGAACGGAUUCAAAUUGAUUCUCAAAGCUCUCACUUGUUCAUUUGCUCAUAUUUGGAUUAUUAAUUACAAAUUUUCUUAAUAUUUUGAUAUAUUAUAUUAUCUUUGAUAUAUAUACAUUGUUUUGCUUUUUUAUCUUAACAUAUAUAGACAUAUUUGUUUAUUUUUUGUUGUAAUCAUAUGUCCUCUUUUUUUCAGUUUUUCAAAAUGUUCAGACCCGCUGCGGCGAGGAAAUUUUAUUAUUUUCCAGAUUGUAGCCGGGCCUUUUACCAGAGGACCAGACGAUGUGCAGUAAUGAAAAAAGGAGACCAUCCAUCAUUUGGAUUUCCAGAUUAUAACGGACCACAGAACUUUCCCGAAGAAUGGCCACAACUUAAAGAAACUGUGAGGAUAGUGUCACGAUCUACAGUUGUACCUUUACUGGCUGGUUUGUCUCCAAAUGAAGAAUCAGCAUGUGUUAGUCAGGAAUCGCUUCUUCCCAUAUUCAGAUAUUCAUAUGCAUUAAGAGGCACUUGUCACCACCUGGUCUUCACUGGUACUAGUGGUUGUUAUCGAGUGCCGUGGGUCAGACUUGCUUAAUUAGCAGCAGAGGAUGAGGAUGCCAGGUGGGUGGAGUGAAGUACACAGACUAUACCCAUGGAGGAAGUUGAGUCAGGUAGGUGAUGGUGUGGACAGCUCAAAAGACAAUCAGAGGAAAGUGACAGACACGGUCGAAACAGAUUGAAAUCGAGGGAGAAAUUGUAAAUGUCUUUAUAUUAAGAUAAUAAAAAUUAUAGGCAAACGGUAAUAGAUGAUAAAUAUGAAUGAAUGUGUGAGCCAACUUUGACAGACUUUGAACCACUGUCAUCCGGUUGAUUGUCCAGCAUCUUAUCCACUGGACCAUGGAGCUAAUUUUUUGUGUCAAAAUUGAUAUUCUUUAAACACGCUAACCAUCCAGAAUAUGUAUGUGACAUUGUACUGCCUAAGCUGGACCUCUGCGAGUGCUGUUCCUCACCGUGGUGCAGAGGUGGCAACGUUCCCUUGAAGUUCUUUCAUAGGAGUGGCAAAUACAGCACACAAUAAACAGUGAAGCCGUAUCUCUUAAAAAUGUAGAAAUUUAUAUAAAAAAACAUUGACAUGUAAUAACAUCUCACUUUUUGAAAAUGAAUAUUGGGAAAGGUAUGCAAUGUAGAACAGUAAAUUGUUUUUACAAAACCAGUUACGUGGUGUGUUGAUGGUAAAAUUUUCAUUUGGAUGUAUGGCUUAUUUCGAAAAUGCUGUCUGACACAAAAUGUGAUGUGAAAACAUGCCAUAUCAAUGAGAACCUACUCAACACCUACUGUACAUAAUGAAAAUGAUGGUCGAUUGGCCUAUUUUCUUUUGUUACAGACCAUAAUCUUUUGUUCCAGCAUGAAAUAAACGUCUUUAUUUCAGUGUCAUUUUUGCCUUUAAAGCUCUUCCACAGGAUGAAAUUAUUUCCAUAACUCCAUAAUGAAUAGUUUUUGGGACAUAAAAAUUAAAUUUAAAAAUGGGGUUAAAAAUAGCACGAAGGAAUACAGUAGGCUCUUUUUUCACCCCAGUCCAAAAACUGAUUAUGGGUUGUGUAAAAGAAAAUGGUGUGGUAAUCUACCAUUGUGUUACGCACUGUAAAUAUUUAGUAGGUUCUCAGUAGUAUACCAUUAUUUAAACAAUAAGUUUCGUAUCACAGGCCAUUUUGAAAGUAAGCCAUGCAUGUAUCAAAAUAAAAAGUUCACCAUCAACACACAAAUUAACUGUUUUUUGGUGAAAAAAAUGUCGGUGUUUUGUAUUACAUACUUUUUCUGAUAUUCAGCUUCAAAAAGUGUGUUUUUAUAUAUAUAUCACCCAAUAUAUAUAUAUUAUAUAUGUAUGUAUGUUUCACUACUUUCUUGGGUGGCCACCUCAGACAGGUGUGACCAUAUACAUGUGUGUGUGUGUAUGACAAAAUAGUUUAUCAAUUUAGUACUAGUGCAUUGUACUUUAAAAGGCAUGUCCAAUGAUAUGACAAUUAUACAUUUCAUUUUGUAUUGAAAGUCUGCUGUUAUUUCAACUGACGCAAGUUUUCUUUUCUUUAAGCAUAUACCAAAUUGCUAAACUUGUUUUAGUAUAUGUAUGUGUGUUUGUAUACCGACAGAUGGACGGUGAAACACGUCUAAAUCGGACCAAGCAAAACGUCCAGUUUUAAAGGAUAUCUAGUUUACAAAGAUUAUGUUCUAUACUGAUAUUUAAACAGGGACUAAAUUUGCCUGAUGCACGGUCAGUCUAGGAUCAAUCCCCGUCGGUGGGACCAUUGGGCUAUUUCUCAUUCUAACCAGUGUUCCACGACUGGUUUAACAAAGGGUAUGGCAUGUAUGUGUGUGGAAUACUGCAUAUAAAAAAAAAAAAAAAAAAAAAGACUCCUUGCUGCAAAUCAUAAAGAGUAGCCUAUUGUGUGGCAGCAGGUUUCCUCCCUUUGGUUCUCACCCAUUUGUCCAUAUAAGUGUAAUUAAAAUGUGUUGAUUGCAUCGUUAAAUGAACUAUUUCCUUCCAUUAAAUGAGAACAGUCCUUCCUUCCAGUUUUCAAAGGGUCUGGUUUGAGGUGUUUCACUGUGUGUGCAUGUUUCUGUAAUGCAAUGUGAUGGGAUGUGAAUGAAUUCAUGCAAUAUAUGUAUAUACAUGUAUACCCAUAUUUAUAAUUUUA
rnacentral:lncRNA from 1 species